ACCCGUCUGAGAUAGAUUUACCAGCCAAUAUACUAUUAAGGCUGCAAUUUUGAGGAGCAAUUCAUCUCAGGCUAUAUUAUAUUAGACUUCCUCCAUCUGUGUUUCCUCAUUUGUGCUUUCAGAUGGCACACCAUUUUCAUCAUUUGGACUAAUUUUUGCAUCUCUCUCCCCAUUUCGUUGGCUCUGAAGAGGCAAAUCUCCAUUUUGACCACUUUCAAUGCCAUCCAUCUCUUGAGCUUCCUCUGACUUGCUUUCAUGCAGCGUAUCAUCCACAGCACCAUUUGCAGGUGCAGACAUAUUGGAUGAAUGGUAUUGCUCAAACUGAUAGUUCAUCAGCCUUGCCUGAUAUAAUUGAUUCAUUUUAUCAAUUACGAUGUGGCCCAUUUCCUCAACACCACUGACAAGAUAGGGCUGUCCAAUAUCUUCAACAGGACGUUCUAUAUACGAUGAAAUCUCAUUCAAAUUCAGUGCAAGGUGGUCAGGUCUCUGAAGCAAAAGUUGAAAUGUAGGUUGCAAUUCAUAGCAUUGUUCAAAUAGAGAUCGUCGGCAGAACACAUAAAGUCCAAGUCGGGCACGAGACAUGGCAACAACCAAUCUUCUAACAUCACGAAGGUGACCCACAAAGCGAGUACGUACAAGAGAAAGCAAAAUAAAAUCAUUCUGCUGCCCUUGAAACUUAUCAACUGUUGUAACCUUACUAGGUGGACCAAUGAAGUCAUAUGGAACACAUCGUCUAUUAAUAACAUCACGAAUAAGAAGCUUCUGGCCAUUGUAAGUAGUCAAGAUGGAAAUCUUGUUUGCAGGAUAUCCUAAUAAACGCAUGUAGAUGUAGACACUGACAACAUAUUCAGCCUCUCCCUCAUUCUGGUAGAACCAAGGAGAAGGGGCAGUCUCACCUCUGCCAUGGUAAUCAGGUACAUCCACUAACUGAUAUUCAUAAGAGAAUCCAGCAUUAGCUUUAUGGAAGAUGGCCCCC
rnacentral:misc_RNA from 1 species